GGCUGGUUAGCUCAGUUGGUUAGAGCAUGGUGCUAAUAAUGCCAAGGUCUUGGGUUUGAUACCUGUAUGGGCCA
rnacentral:tRNA from 1 species